AUGGCUGUCGUCAGCUCGUGUCGUGAGAUGUUGGGUUAAGUCCCGCAACGAGCGCAACCCUUGUCCUAUGCUGCCAGCGGGUAAUGCCGGGGACUCGUAGGAGACUGCCGGGGUCAACUCGGAGGAAGGUGGGGACGACGUCAAGUCAUCAUGCCCCUUACGUCCAGGGCUGCACACAUGCUACAAUGGCCGGUACAAAGGGCUGCUAUCCCGCGAGGGUGAGCGAAUCCCAUAAAGCCGGUCUCAGUUCGGAUUGCAGUCUGCAACUCGACUGCAUGAAGUCGGAGUCGCUAGUAAUCCCGGAUCAGCAACGCCGGGGUGAAUACGUUCCCGGGCCUUGUACACACCGCCCGUCAAACCACGAAAGUCGGCAACACCCGAAGCCGGUCACCCAACCUUUUAGGAGGGAGCCGUCGAAGGUGGGGUUGGUGAUUGGGGUUAAGUCGUAACAAGGUAGCCGUACCGGAAGGUGCGGCUGGAUCACCUCCUUUCUAAGGAGUGUUCUGUAGGAAUCGUGUCGAUACUCGAUACGUGAACUACGAAUCUCCCAGUCGAUCACUGGUUAUUCGGCGUUCUCUUUAACUACUUGUGAUGGUUAUGUCUGAAGGCUUGUCUUUCGGGCCCACCUUUUAGUGGAGAGAUCAACGGACUGUUCCUGUUCCGUUUUCAGGGAGCGACCACUUGGCGCGCCCUUUGAGAACUCCAUAGCGAGCACGAGCAUCUAAUUCUCCAAGCUACAAAGAGCCAACGGUGGAUGCCUUGGCGCCUGAUGCCGAUGAAGGACGUGGGAGGCUGCGAAAAGCCACGGGGAGCUGCCUACCAAGCUUCGAUCCGUGGACGUCCGAAUGGGGAAACCCGG
rnacentral:sRNA from 1 species